rnacentral:rRNA from 1 species
CUUCCGCCGGCGACCGGCGCACGGUGAGUAACACGUAUGCAACCUGCCCCUGUCAGGGGGACAACCCGCCGAAAGGCGGGCUAAACCCGCGUACAUGCCACCGGGGCAUCCCGGAGGCAGGAAAGGCUUCGGCCGGACAGGGAUGGGCAUGCGGCGCAUUAGGCAGUAGGCGGGGUAACGGCCCACCUAACCGACGAUGCGUAGGGGUUCUGAGAGGAAGGUCCCCCACACUGGUACUGAGACACGGACCAGACUCCUACGGAAGGCAGCAG